rnacentral:rRNA from 3 species
UAGGGAAUCUUCCGCAAUGGACGCAAGUCUGACGGAGCAACGCCGCGUGAGUGAAGAAGGGUUUCGGCUCGUAAAACUCUGUUGUUAAGGAAGAAUGACAGGCAGAGUAACUGCUGCCUGUGUGACGGUACUUAACCAGAAAGCCACGGCUAACUACGUGCCAGCAGCCGCGGUAAUACGUAGGUGGCAAGCGUUAUCCGGAAUUAUUGGGCGUAAAGCGCGCGUAGGCGGUUUUUUAAGUCUGAUGUGAAAGCCCCCGGCUCAACCGGGGAGGGUCAUUGGAAACUGGGGAACUUGAGUGCAGAAGAGGAGAGUGGAAUUCCAUGUGUAGCGGUGAAAUGCGCAGAGAUAUGGAGGAACACCAGUGGCGAAGGCGGCUCUCUGGUCUGUAACUGACGCUGAUGUGCGAAAGCGUGGGGAUCAAACAGG